rnacentral:rRNA from 1 species
AGUUGGCGAACGGGUGAGUAACACGUGAGUAACCUGCCCUUGACUCUGGGAUAAGCGUUGGAAACGACGUCUAAUACCGGAUACGAGCCCCAACCGCAUGGUUAGGGGUUGGAAAGAAUUUCGGUCAAGGAUGGACUCGCGGCCUAUCAGCUUGUUGGUGAGGUAAUGGCUCACCAAGGCGACGACGGGUAGCCGGCCUGAGAGGGUGACCGGCCACACUGGGACUGAGACACGGCCCAGACUCCUACGGGAGGCAGCAGUGGGGAAUAUUGCACAAUGGGCGAAAGCCUGAUGCAGCAACGCCGCGUGAGGGAUGACGGCCUUCGGGUUGUAAACCUCUUUUAGUAGGGAAGAAGCGAAAGUGACGGUACCUGCAGAAAAAGCACCGGCUAACUACGUGCCAGCAGCCGCGGUAAUACGUAGGGUGCAAGCGUUGUCCGGAAUUAUUGGGCGUAAAGAGCUCGUAGGCGGUUUGUCGCGUCUGCUGUGAAAACUGGAGGCUCAACCUCCAGCCUGCAGUGGGUACGGGCAGACUAGAGUGCGGUAGGGGAGAUUGGAAUUCCUGGUGUAGCGGUGGAAUGCGCAGAUAUCAGGAGGAACACCGAUGGCGAAGGCAGAUCUCUGGGCCGUAACUGACGCUGAGGAGCGAAAGCGUGGGGAGCGAACAGGAUUAGAUACCCUGGUAGUCCACGCCGUAAACGUUGGGAACUAGAUGUGGGGACCAUUCCACGGUCUCCGUGUCGCAGCUAACGCAUUAAGUUCCCCGCCUGGGGAGUACGGCCGCAAGGCUAAAACUCAAAGGAAUUGACGGGGGCCCGCACAAGCGGCGGAGCAUGCGGAUUAAUUCGAUGCAACGCGAAGAACCUUACCAAGGCUUGACAUAUACGAGAACGGGCCAGAAAUGGUCAACUCUUUGGACACUCGUAAACAGGUGGUGCAUGGUUGUCGUCAGCUCGUGUCGUGAGAUGUUGGGUUAAGUCCCGCAACGAGCGCAACCCUCGUUCUAUGUUGCCAGCACGUUAUGGUGGGAACUCAUAGGAGACUGCCGGGGUCAACUCGGAGGAAGGUGGGGAUGACGUCAAAUCAUCAUGCCCCUUAUGUCUUGGGCUUCACGCAUGCUACAAUGGCCGGUACAAAGGGCUGCAAUACCGUAAGGUGGAGCGAAUCCCAAAAAGCCGGUCUCAGUUCGGAUUGAGGUCUGCAACUCGACCUCAUGAAGUCGGAGUCGCUAGUAAUCGUGAAUCAGCAACGUCACGGUGAAUACGUUCCCGGGCCUUGUACACACCGCCCGUCAAGUCAU